AUUGAACGCUGGCGGCAGGCCUAACACAUGCAAGUCGAACGAGUGGCGGACGGGUGAGUAAUGUCUGGGAAACUGCCUGAUGGAGGGGGAUAACUACUGGAAACGGUAGCUAAUACCGCAUACCAUCGGAUGUGCCCAGAUGGGAUUAGCUUGUUGGUGGGGGAACGGCUCACCAAGGCGACGAUCCCUAGCUGGUCUGAGAGGAUGACCAGCAAAACUGGAACUGAGACACGGUCCAGACUCCUACGGGAGGCAGCAGUGGGGAAUAUGGGACAAUGGGCGAAAGCCUGAUGCAGCAAUGCCGCGUGUAUGAAGAAGGCCGUCGGGUUGUAAAGUACUUUUAGCGGGGAGGCGUUACCCGAAGAGGAAGCACCGGCUAACUCCGUGCCAGCAGCCGCGGUAAUUC
rnacentral:rRNA from 1 species